rnacentral:misc_RNA from 1 species
UACGGAGGAUCCAAGCGUUAUCCGGAAUUACUGGGCGUAAAGAGUUGCGUAGGUGGCAGAGUAAGUAGAUAGUGAAAGCGUGCGGCUCAACCGCAUAUACAUUAUCUAAACUACUCAGCUAGAGGACGGGAGAGGUAGAUGGAAUUCCCAGUGUAGGAGUGAAAUCCGUAGAUAUUGGGAGGAACACCGAUGGCGUAGGCAGUCUACUGGCUCGUUCCUGACACUAAGGCACGAAAGCGUGGGGAGCAAACGGG